rnacentral:rRNA from 1 species
AGCUAACCUACCCUUAAGUCAAGGAUACCCUCGGGAAACUGAGGUUAAUACUUGAUAGGAGAUAUGCCCUGGAAUGACUUAUCUCAUAAAUUCGUGCUUAAGGACGGGGCUACGGCGGAUUAGGUUGUUGGCGGGGUAAUGGCCCACCAAGCCAAAGAUCCGUAAGGGCUCUUAGCGGAGAGGCCCUGAGAGGGAGUCUGAGACACUACUCCCAGCCCUACGGGGUGCAGCAGCUAGGAAUCUUCUGCAAUGCGCGAAAGCGUGACAGAGCGAAUCAAAGUGCUUUUCAAUUUGAAAAGCUUUUGCCAAAUCUAAAAAGUUUGGCGAAUAAGGACUGGGUAAGACGAGUGCCAGCCGCCGCGGUAAUCCUCGCGGUCCAAGUCGCAGCCACAUUUAUUUGGUCUAAAACAUCCGUAGCUUGCUCAAUAAGUUUCUUGUGAAAUCCGGCCUCUUAAGGGUCGGGCGCGCGAGAAGUACUGUCGAGCUAGUGACUGGAAGACGUAAGAAGUACGUUCGAAGUAGUGGUAAAAUACGUUAAUCUCGGACGGACUAACAACAGCGAAGGCAUCUUACGAGGACAGUUCUGACAGUAAGGGAUGAAGGCUAGGGGCGCAAAAUGGAUUAGAUACCCAUGUAGUCCUAGCAGUAAACACUGCACACUAAACAUUAGUACCUCCUCGAGAGGUAUUGGUGCUGAAGCGAAGGCGAAGAGUGUGCUACCUGGGAAGUAUAGUCGCAAGGCCGAAACUUAA